AUUGAACGCUGGCGGAAUGCUUUACACAUGCAAGUCGAACGGUAGAGGGGGCAACCCCUCGAGAGUGGCGAACGGGUGAGUAAUAUAUCGGAACGUGCCCAGUCGUGGGGGAUAACGUAGCGAAAGUUACGCUAAUACCGCAUACGAUCUAAGGAUGAAAGCGGGGGAUCGCAAGACCUCGCGCGAUUGGAGCGGCCGAUAUCAGAUUAGGUAGUUGGUGGGGUAAAGGCUCACCAAGCCCACGAUCUGUAGCUGGUCUGAGAGGACGACCAGCCACACUGGAACUGAGACACGGUCCAGACUCCUACGGGAGGCAGCAGUGGGGAAUUUUGGACAAUGGGCGAAAGCCUGAUCCAGCCAUUCCGCGUGCAGGAUGAAGGCCCUCGGGUUGUAAACUGCUUUUGUACAGAACGAAAAGGUUUCUACUAAUACUAGGAGCUCAUGACGGUACUGCAAGAAUAAGCACCGGCUAACUACGUGCCAGCCGCCGCCGUAA
rnacentral:rRNA from 1 species